CCUACGGGAGGCAGCAGUGGGGGAUAUUGCACAAUGGGGGGAACCCUGAUGUAGCGACGCCGCGUGGGUGAAGAAGCGCCUCGGCGCGUAAAGCCCUGUCAGCAGGGAAGAAAAUGACGGUACCUGAAGAAGAAGCCCCGGCUAACUACGUGCCAGCAGCCGCGGUAAUACGUAGGGGGCAAGCGUUAUCCGGAUUUACUGGGUGUAAAGGGGGCGCAGACGGCGAUGCAAGCCAGGAGUGAAAGCCCGGGGCCCAACCCAGGGACUGCUCUUGGAACUGCGUGGCUAGAGUGCAGGAGGGGCAGGCGGAAUUCCUGGUGUAGCGGUGAAAUGCGUAGAUAUCAGGAGGAACACCGGUGGCGAAGGCGGCCUGCUGGACUGCAACUGACGUUGAGGCCCGAAAGCGUGGGGAGCAAACAGGAUUAGAUACCCUUGUAGUC
rnacentral:rRNA from 1 species